UACGUAGGGUGCGAGCGUUAAUCGGAAUUACUGGGCGUAAAGCGUGCGCAGGCGGUUUGUCAAGUCCGCUGUGAAAGCCCCGGGCUCAACCUGGGAAUGGCAGUGGAAACUAGCGAGCUAGAGUGUGUCAGAGGGGGGUGGAAUUCCACGUGUAGCAGUGAAAUGCGUAGAGAUGUGGAGGAACACCAAUGGCGAAGGCAGCCCCCUGGGAUAACACUGACGCUCAGGCACGAAAGCGUGGGGAGCAAACAGG
rnacentral:rRNA from 1 species